GAUCAAUUGGCCCAACAAUAGGCAGAACAUGCGAGCGAUCGAUCGAUCGAUCGAACCCGGACUGAGUGCGCCACACAGACAGUUCAGGCACUGCACCAGCGCACCGUCUCGCCCCCCUCCCUCCGCUGCGCACCUGCCCCUCCGCCCCCCUCACGCCCUUCUCCGCCGCGCCGGGAGCCGCCCCCCGACGCUGCUGCCCUAAGGUACCGCCGACCCGCCUGGGAAGUUCUCUCCGCCCCCAAGUCCUGCCUUGACGGGCUCCGCUCAGUAUCCCGCUAGGCGCGGCUGUUCGGAGUUCCCGGCUGGAACGACACAGCUGGUGCGGUGGAAUGUCAGGAACACAAGUUGGACUUUGCACCAUGAGGACAACUCCCAAAUUUGAAAUACUAGUCGUGCAAACACAUGUGGAGAAGUUGACAAAGUCUGCUCAUGCUCUUACGGAGAAAGGAGACAACUGCUGUUCCGAUGCCCAAGUAGACAAAGCUCAGAACCGCCUGCAAGAACGAAAUGAUAUCACACAUCAGGGUGAAAACUUAUUCAUGUCUUUACUGUCUUGCAACGAUGCAAUAUAUGCAGAGAAAUAAAUCUUACUAUAUUGUGUCAAGAAGUGACUGUUGUUUGAUGCAUGGUAAAACUCAGGUGCUAGAAAUUGUUGCAACAUUGUUUUUUUCGUAUCCAUGAUGCUGACGGCAAACUGACGGUGACAAAGAAAAGUGCAAUGCGACAAACGUGACAGUGUGGAUCACCUCUAUCCCGUUUCAGAGUUUCUCUAGAGAGAGAGAGAGAGAGAGAAAACGCACGGAUCUCAGGGCAGAACUUCAGAUCCUUUAUUUAUCAUAUCAGGAGAGAUCCCAACAUGUGGGGUGGGUGGCAGCUAUCUCUUCUCGUGUUAAUUAAGUGCUAAUCUACGUGAAAUCUCUUUGUUAAACUUGCAGGCUGCAGUAAACUGGAAUGGUCCGCGAGCCACUUCAGAAACGUGGCAGAGAGAAGAUUAAAAGACACGGGAAGCGCAUGCAAAUUAACGGCGGAGGAAGCAGAACGGCGACAGGAUCCGCCGGAGCUUCCUCGAAAGUAGAAACGGAAUCGGCCGAGGAGAAGCCGAGGUGGCCGGAAAGGUGGACAUCAGAGAGACGGCCGGCGA